AACGAACGCUGGCGGUAUGCUUAACACAUGCAAGUCGAGCGCGAACGGGGUUUCGGCCUUUAUUAGAGCGGCGAACGGGUGAGUAACGCGUAGAAGAUCUACCUUCAGGUACAGGAUAACCUUUUGAAAGAGUGGCUAAUACUGUAUAACAAUGCACGUAAGGGUGUAUUUGAAAGAUUAAUUGCCUGAAGAUGAGUCUGCGUGCCAUUAGCUAGUUGGUAGGGUAAGAGCCUCCCAAGGCGAUGAUGGCUAGCGGUUCUGAGAGGAUGAUCCGCCACACUGGAACUGAGACACGGUCCAG
rnacentral:rRNA from 1 species